AUCAGUGUGACGAGUCGCGUGAACUAGCCUCCCCUGCGGCAGUCCUGUAGCGUCACACAGUCCGCUCUCACACGAGCCCUCUCUGCCCCAGCCCACGGGCGCUGUGACACCCCAUUUUUCCUGAGAGAUAAAGUGAUUCCACAUUUAGGACUUAUUUCUACAGAAGACAAGUUUGCUGUUACCGAACUUCGUUAUUCACCUAAUACAACAGUUUGCCUUAAGAACAAAUGCACAGUCAUAGUAACAGACCAAUAUUGUUCUUAACUGUCAAAGAAUUUUCACUGUUUUGAUGGAAUUUAGUUACAAGAGACUGCAAUAACUUGCCCUAGUUUUGUUUUCAAACACAUUCCAGUGAAACGUGAAUGGUUUGAAUCCUUUGUAAAGAUAUACUUGAAAAAUCACACUUAGAAUACAAUUCUAAAUAUUUGUCAGAUACUAUGAAACUAAUAUAAUAGUUUAUUAUUAAUUUCAUUUUGCACAACUUUCAACAUUUCAAAUGAAAUCUUUACUGGAAACAAAUAACUUUUUAUUUAGCCAGAAAAAAAACAUAAAGCUGUGGUGUUUUGAAAAUAAGAUGAUGACAAACAAUAUUACUGCCAUUAAGCAAAAGCUGGACAAGACCCAGGCACUGUCUUCCGAAAAUAACAGCUACAGCAGUAUUGCCUUGCAGAGCAGAACUGGUCCCAUACAAGACUAAGCCUCUGAUUUUGCUAUUUAGACAAAAUUUGGUCACAAGUAUAUGCCUAUAUGCUAAUAGGACAAUCCAAGUACUUACAAAAAAGUAACAAAUGUGUAUUGAUCUGCGCUCAGUGUGGAAAAGCAAGUCCCUGAGACAAUCUACGUCCAGCAACAUUAAAAAAAAAAAAAAAAAAAAAAAAAA